AGAUCCAUCACUCUCACUGCUACAGCCGUAUUCGUCUGGUGCUUUUCUACAAUAUUUUGCACCGUUUCCCACAUUUUACACAUCUCCCUGACCUCAUUUGAAGUGAGGGAUUCCCCCGCCCUUUUCUCCUCCUCCUCUGCAGACGAGACGCAGACGUAGACGUCUUGUAAACUCUUGCAAUUUCGGCCGCUCGCAUACCUCGUUCGUACUUCUCGGUGAUUUCCGUCUCAACUUCCACAGUAAGCAUCUCCUUCCCACCGCCUUUCUUUUCCACGUUUUUCUGCAUGGGGGCCGCUGUAUACACUCACACGGAUGUUGACUCAGUACAGUAUGAAUAAACUCUCGUCAUCUACGGUAUUUAAUGUAAGCGGCAAUAAGGCAGCAGAGGAAAGGGUGUGUGUCUGCGGGAAGCCUGACGCGGAAUGAGGCAAAGUGCUCCUAAGCUCACUCUUGUCCGGAAAAGCAAAGGACUGUUCACAGGUGCCUCGAAGUGACAAAAAACACACUAGUGCCAGUUGCGGGCACCUUCCCACGUUCCGAAAAAUCACCGAUUUCUGCCAGACCCGGUGGCCUGAGACCGAGCGUCCGAGUGUGGGGGACGAUCACCCACCGUCCCGCAGCGAGAGAAGAGACAGAAGCACCAUCGGCUCAGCUGUGAUCAUGUGAUGUUUGGCGUCAGGUACGACUCAUAUUGCAAGACAUCGCUCGUUUAUCAGGUUAGGUUUAUCAGGAACGUUCGCUUGUCUUGUGGAACGCUCGCGCAAGUGUCACUCGCAAGCUGAGGUUUUAGCACGUAUCUUUCAUUGGGACCGUGGGCCUCCACUGUCACCUGCUGCCACCGCAGUGUGGGAACCUUAUGACAGACAGUAAGCGUCUGUUUCUCCUGUCUAGGUCUUCACGCUAUCCGUGUGGCACAUUUUACUUUCCAACAUCAUAGACUCCACGUGUUACUAUUAAUUUUGUUUCCGCAGUUAGUUUAUCUCCUGAAGAGAUUUAAAUGAUAACGACGAAUCCUGUAUAUUUGCCACGUGAUUCCACAGGAAACGUUUUGAGCCUUGAUUUUAUCUGUAAAAUUAGGUUGUUGAAUUUUACGAUCUCUGUGGUUGUCAGAUUACUGUCUUCUCCACUGAGAGGAUUGGGACGAUGUGGGAUCUGUGUGCGCGUGUGGUGGUUUUUGGAUCUUGGUAGACAUGGUCUUUAUUUUGCGUUGUAUAAAGCGUGCGUUUGUGGAACACGCGCGCAGAUGUGACACAGUACAGCGUGAAGCAGGCUUCGUGACCCUGUGUGCACCGGACGGGCGCCGGAGGGCCCAGGGUGCGCUGGCCAAGGCCGUGUGCGCAGCCAGGGUCCAGCCCGCCUUUUUCUGGAUUCAAACCGGGUGUCAAGUCCAGUUUUCCUUUUGUCUCUGAAGCCAGCGCGCUUUGCCGCCAGGUUGCGCUCCAGCCUCCGUGCAGAUGGCUGGAGUGGAUUUUACUUAGAAUUUUCUUUCUUGGCCACGCACCCAAGUCUAAUUUCUACCAGGAGCCAAAAAAAAAAAAGGUUUGAGUUCAGUGUAAGCAUUUAUUUGUACUUGACAGGUAUUUACUGUGUGACAGUCAGCAUUCCACGUGCUUUAUUUAAUCACAUCCUUAGGAAGCGGACACUUAAUCAUUCAUGGAGCAGGUGGGUAAGGAAACCGCAGCACAAAGAAGCUGGCCUGCGUGAGCUCAGUGGUGAGCGGCAGGAUUUGGGCUCCAACAAGCGGACUUUAGCUCCUCGGUGCGCCCGGCACGGCGCCCCCACGGCACUGUGUGAGCACAGGCACGGGAGCCACGGCGCCACCAAGGGAGGGCCGGGAAGGGGCCCCGGAGGGAGGCGGGACCAGAGUGCGCGGGACCUUGGUGGGCAGAAGUGAGAGCGGAGCCUACGUCCUCCUCUGCAGGGAGGCCCCGGGCACGAGGAAUGUUUUUCACUCUGGAUUUGUGCACCAGAAGUGACUCCUAAAUCAAGAUUUCAAAACAGUUGCUUAUUUUUAUUCUAUGGAAGGCAAUAUGUAUUCUAUUUUUAUUAAUGUGGGAAUAACACUUUUUUUUUUAGCCAUUGCGUGCUUUCAAAUUUGUUUUCAUAUACAACGUUCUAGUUCUGAAACAUAGAUCAUUGUCAGAUGUUUCCUGACCAUCUCAUCAAGCCCACAUCCUGAAAGCUAAUUUCAUUCUGAAGAACCUAACAGUCCAAGUACCUUCCUUUCGGAAAACGUUCUGCAGAUUCUAGCAAAGUCAACAGCCAAGCCAUAAAUUUAAAUGUAACACAGCCUAGAGGAAUAGGAAGCCUGCUUUUGUCACAUUGCUUAUUUUCAUAUUCAAGUAAUUUUCUAGAAAAGCCAAAAUAUUGUACCAGAAACCGAUCCUUCGCGGCAAUGCAGGCUUAACCUAUGGGAGGAAUAAAUCAAGAAGAGGAAGCACAAAUGUAUAUAAGGCGUUGAUUUCAAGUUCUGGCUGCUCCCCGGAGUUGUUGGGGGGAAGGGAAGGAGGCGGAGCCACGAGGCGGUCGGCCUGUCGGGGCUCCCCCGGCACAGGGAGGGCGCCUUGGAGUCCGCGUGCAACACAAAUGAUGGGCAGCGCGCACCAUCCGUGGCGGCGUUGACUCCAGGACUCGAGUCGACGGAGGGCGACUUCCCUCUCGCCAGCAGUGGUCCGGAGGAACAGCGUGCGCGGCUGUAGAUUUAUGGCUCACGUGCUCUGGACGAAUACCGCAUCUAUUUCCACUUGUGCCGGGAAAUUGUGGUAAGCAAAAUGAGUUUACCUAAAGGUCUAGUAAGUGUUCCUGGAAAUCAAGAUGUUUUGGCCCCUGUCCUAGACCUUCUGUUUCCGCGGAUGCGUGGAAGAUGCUAGAAGUGUGAACUUCCACAAGAUCAUCUGAGGUUUGGAGUUUUGGGACAGGUGGGCCUCAGAUCACGCCGGGAGAGAUUCUGCAUUAAGUUACUGGGAGCUGGUGUCCUGGCCACCCUUCUGGGAGCUGGUGUCCUGGCCAGCCUGCAGACAUUCGUCUCCUGGGUUGUAACCUCUGGCUUCCACCCAUUUUCCCCAGAAAACCCACGUGUGUCAUUCAGUAGCAAGGAUUCGGCUGGGACCCAAGGCUUAUUUCUGAGUACAGCGGUGCACCUGCCUGCCUCCUGCCCAGCAAGGGACGGACAGCACCCGCGUCCCAGGGUGAACAGCAGUGAGAAAAUUCCAAAUUCAGAUGUGCUCAAAAAUCGCUAGUUACCCUGCCUUAAACACGGGACUCUUCAGUGAGUCCUACUCAUUUGUAGGAGAUGGUAAAGUCAAGAGGAAGAUUGAAUUUAGAGCACUUUCUAAUGAAAUGAAGGUCACACUUGCUUGAACCCAGAAUGUCUCAAAUUAGGUGGGGAAUAUAAUGGCGUGAUUUACACAACACCCUCUUACUUUUUACAGAUUGUAAGAAUAUCUUGAAGUGAACAGGGUCUUACAGACAUCAGGGCUCCUGGGAACAGUGAAAGAGGCAUCUGUCAGAUUUUACACGGUAUGCGUGCCACUGUAAUCGUCUGGUGAAGAACAUUAUUCUCCCUCCAAGCACCACCCCCGAAGUGUUUUACAGUCUUCCUGUGAUCCCAUUGUGAAAUUGAAGGCUCAUUGAUUUGUUCUGGAAAAUCACCCUGUCUAAUCACCGGAUUAUAUUGGAAUCAACCUCACGCAUCUAUGGAUUUGGUCCAAACGCCUCAGCUCGGCCAGUCAGGUCCGUCCGGCUUCGCCGAGCCUGCUCCCACCCCGCCAUCCAGGCCUGUGCCCCGGGGCUCCGUGCCCAGCCCGGUGGAGUCCGCGCUCUUCUGUGGACACCAUCUCCGGAAUGCGUUCUCACCGCCGCUGUCGGCCCUCGGACCCCGUUCAAAUGCCGUCCCCUGUGACUUUCCGUGAAGUCGAGCCGGCGUCUGACCCUCAGGUGUGAACCGCCAGCUACGGACCUGUGUGCAGCGUGCAGGGCACUGUGCCCUCAGCCUUCCGGUUCAGAUGUCGGCUUCUCCACUAGAAUUUGAGUCCCUCAGGGAGGGUGGCCUUGUCUUCAAUCUGAUCGCCGGAACAGAACAGACGGAUGCUCGCUGAAUUCGGGUAAAGUAAGUCCAUCUGUGUUCUGGUGUCUCAUGGCAGCACAGUUAUUUCUAACAUCUUUACUCGUUUCCAUGUUGCCUAGAAAUUACAGUAUUGUUCAUCUGAGGGCAUUUAUCUCAUGGAUGCAAAAACGCACAUCACACAGAAUUCUAGAAAAUUAACCUCUGAAAGCAGUCUGCUUUGCAACCCUUCAAAAUAGUAAAUCAUUAGAAACACAGAGUGUUUUAUGUUUAAAACUUAGGCUAUAAUACAACCUGGGAGGGUUUCAUCACGUACCCACUUGGGAAGUAUGACUGACCCUCCUUCGCGACUCUGCGUCACAUCUGCUGACCAGAGCAGAGGCUGGCCGUGUGGCCACCACCGUGGCGGAAACAGGGACCGGUGACAAAGGAGCUGUGCACGAACGGCAUUCAUUUUGCGGCUCCAAGAACUUGAGAUGUGGGAUCCUCUGACAUUGACGUUUUCCAAGGAUCCACGCUGCUCCGAUACUUCCCGUUGGUUGUACCCCCACUGCAUCCCACACUGUUUUCGUGUUUAAAAUGGCACGUUCCCAGUAACGAUUUGAACCAAGAUGCUUGAGCCGCAAGUAGGGCCGUUAAGGAAAGCACGUUGCCGGCAGGUUACGCCUCUUUUUCGCAUUUCCUUGGUCAGAGGAAUUGCUGGUGUUCGCGGCACACCUCUUAUCCUCGCACAGACCGUCAGGUUUCCUUGAGCCGCACACGUCCACGUCCGUCUGCCCGUCUGUCCUGCCGAGCCGCGAAGCUCUUCCAGACCUUGGGGUUGAAGCCGUAAGCCUCAGAUGCGUGGACUUCGCUGUCCAGCUUCCGUGGUCACCUCAAGUGGGAAGAGCGUUCCUCUCGGCGACGGCUUCCCUCCUCAGAUAAUCACGGCCCGUUUGUUCCUCUCUUUGUUGAUGUUCAGUCUGAGCUGAACUAGGCAGCGUCUUGGAAGGGACGCGAGGGGCUGGUUUUUCUGUUCCUGGACCCGAAGUGUGGCGUGGCUCGUGGCACUUUCCUGCUGCGUGUCCCCUAACCCGCCCCUGUGCUUGCGACCCAGGCACCCCUCCCAGCUCUGUCCCACGUGGCUUCCGGGUUUGCCGGAAGACGAGAUGCCAGGACCGUGUGCCUCCGGGGCCCGCAGGCUGCCACACCGGCCAUGGGGAGCCGUGAUGCCAGUGCAGGUGCUGAGGCUGCAGUUGUGGUCGUGGCUACGGAGAGCUCAGUAUGGACAGAGGCUCGGAUCACUCAGUGUCUCAGGAGCCUGACUGCCUUCGGUUCAAGCGGGCAAACCAUUCAGCCGGAGGGGCGCCAGUAACCUGCCAUCAAAGAUAUUUGUGUGUUGAAUAUUGACGAUUCUUUACCACAAGUGGGAGCACAGUAGAGUCUAAAGAACUUAAAAUUCUACUCAAGUAGAACAACAGGGGAACUUGAGGCGCUCCGCGAUAAUCUCCGCCUGCCAGUUGUUUUAAAACGUGCUCAGACGACGCGGGCGUGCUUCCUUGGAGUUUCCAGGAUGGGCACGUCAGACACAGAAGGGGGCCGUGUGCACGCUCAGUGAUGGUUAGUCACGCGCGUUCAUUCGGCAGUGUCUUUGCACAGACGCACAUCUGCGUGGAGGAGCUGGCGGGCUGUUGGCAUUGAAUCUGUUAAAUGGUGAAGCUCUAAAGAGUCCAUGGUGCUUUAAGUUUAAAUCCAUUUUCACAUUCAGAAAACGAUAUAAACACAGGAUAAAUUGUAGAAAAUUAAAGCAGAAUCACAAAGUAAUUUCAUUAAAACAUAAGAAUUGGAGACAUCUGGACAAGCUGUGCAGAGUGGUCCCCAGCUCUCCUUUCUCCCAACACCUAACCACAGAGUCACAGAGUUGUUACUGGGGCUGCGGUGAGUAUUCAGACCAGCAAGGCUGUCUGCCCCCAGGACUCAGACACAGUUAGAUCUCGUCAGAGGGGGUCUUCUAGUCAGCUCUUGUCCAUAUGCCUUAGUAUCACUGUUAAGGAAAGAGCCAUGAAAUGAAAAAUAAAGUCCCUCCUCCCAAUGGAAGGAAAGAAAG